rnacentral:rRNA from 1 species
CCUACGGGAGGCAGCAGUGAGGAAUAUUGGUCAAUGGCCGGAAGGCUGAACCAGCCAAGCCGCGUGAAGGACGAAGGUGCCAAGCAUUGUAAACUUCUUUUGUCAAGGGACAAAAUCAGGCUCGAGAGCCUGACCGAGGGUACUUGAAGAAAAAGCAUAGGCUAACUCCGUGCCAGCAGCCGCGGUAAUACGGAGGAUGCGAGCAUUGUCCGGAUUUAGUGGGUUUAAAGGGUGAGUAGGCGGGCUGUUAAGUCAGCGGUAAAAGCCCGGGGACCACCCCCGGCGAGCCGUGGAAACUGGCGGUCUGGAGAUGUCGAGAGGUAUGCGGAAUGCGCAGUGGAGCGGUGAAAUGCUUAGAUAUUGCGCAGAACUCCGAUUGCGAAGGCAGCAUACCGGCGGCGAUCUGACGCUGAGGCACGAAAGCGUGGGUAUCGAACAGGAUUAGAUACCCCGGUAGUC